CUGGGUUCUUGCUGUGCUGCCAGUUGAAGGGAUUUCCAGGUCCACCAUGGAAUAAUUGGAGUUCCAUGAACAGCAACUAAAGUACAAGGUUUCACCCAUUGCAAGAAACAGAGCUGCCUAUACUUCCUUUGGUUUGGUAUCACUUCUCAUUAGACAGGUGUUGAGGAACACAUUGAAUGGAGUUGAUGCUCUGCAUGUCCAGGAGUUUUGGCUCAGCCUGGGAAGGCCCAAGCUUAAUAGCCAAGGCAGCAGCUGUUCCAGCUGCCAAGAGGCACUGUCAAUUUCAGCAGUAAAUUUUGUGCUCUGCAAUUGAAGUCUCAGUUCAAGUGAGCUCUUCUGUACCUGCCAGGGAUUCCCAAAUGCCCUCUUCUGAAGACUAGCAGGUUUGCAUGCAGCUGGACCCUGUUUGCACAUGUUCAUCACGGUUUUCCAAAGUGGAGCAAGUCAUCAUCCUGCUAGGGAGCUCCGUUAAAGGCCCAGAGGAAUCAGGUGAUCAGGAGGUAAAUCCACUGGACCUUCAUUCUGCAGUACCUGAAUGAGCAGAGCACAGGACUUUUGAAGUCUCUCAUAAGGCACCACAAAAAGUGGCUUGCUUACACACAAAUAUUCCUGUUUUGGGUAAGAUUGCUUUCCAGUGUCAGUGCGAAUGGAUUUCAAUAUGUGGUGCUCUUAAUGAAAAAAACAACAAUCUAAAUCUGUGAACCUACUCUUUCUCUGUCCUCCUUAAGCCUUACUCUAGCAAGCUCAUAU